rnacentral:lncRNA from 1 species
UUUUUUUAAUAAUAUUAUUCUAAGCUGGCAUGAAAAGUGAUUAUCCGCGCUGUGAUUGGUCCGGUUAUCUGACCCGGGGACUGCCAGGAGAAGACAAUAGUUUUAGUCAAAUUAUUUGCCAUGGUGACGCUGUCAAUCAGGGGUAACCCGAUCUGUUUUGAGGUGGCUCCCCGGCUGGGUUGACAGAUUGCUCAGAUCCACUCCGAGGCGGCCCCGCGAGCUGAGAUAUUGGCUGGCGAGGGAGAAACCGCCGCCGGGAUUGGCGCUGCGGGCGCCCGUCGGGAGCGGGCAGCGGAGAGCGCUGAGCCGCCGUCGGGGCCCGCAGCCCGGGCUCUGCUCGGCCCGGCGGCUGCGUUGGGGACGAACAGCCGGGCGGGCCCUCGCUGAAAGUUUCUUUCUAAAUGCACUUAACACCCUUCCAGACGCCCAGCGACAACUGUCGCGAUGGGCUUUAUAGGGAAGGGGCCUCUAGGGUACAAUAGGAACCCUGUUCGCCACUGGAGUAUCGUCACAGAGCGGCACUACCUGCCCGCCGGGCCCCAGUCAGGCAUGGCCGCAGCCGAGCGCAGCCCCGCUGACCGCAGCCCGACCGCCCCUUUAGGUGCGCCUUUUCGGCCGCCGAGCUUUUAUUUCUGCUUCGUUUUCAGCAGCGUGCCGGGCUGUUUCCAGCCAGGGGCACGGGGAAAAGUUAGAGGCGCUUCGCGUGGCGAAGCUGUCCCGCAUCGCCCACGCGUGCCCUACGCACGGCGAUUUUAAUUCAGCGUCUGUGCGGGGAGGGGAGGACCUUCGCCUCUUCCAGUCGCUCUCGGGGCACGUAACGAACGCGGAUGAGCUUAUGCGGGCCGAACGGGAGUGGAGCGACCAGGCAGGGGUCCCCGAGGUGUCUGCGGACCUCUCGGUCGUACGGGAGCUGGAAGUCCCAGCUUCGGGCACUCGAGAGGAACCUCUCUAUCCCAAAGGUAGGGCGUUUCUCAUCCCCCUUAAUGCUUCAGUUCUGGGGAAGAAACGAUAAGAAUAACGAAACCGAGCCCUACGCCAUUUACAACCCCAACUGGAGGGCUGUCCGCAGCUGUGGGUUCCCGACAAGAAAUCUUUUUGACACCGCCCAGCUGCACCCCCGAGCUCGAGGGGCUCACGAAGCAGCAGGAAGCGGCUCCCCUCCGCGCAGCCGGGCCCCCGCGGCGGGAGCCGGGCCGGGCACAGCUGCUCCCCCAGGGAGACGAGGGAGGGCGGCGGCGGCGCGGCGCGGCCCGGACGCUCCCGGCGGCUGCCGGCCCGGAGCAGCGCCAGUGUGAAGGGCGGCGAGGGGGAGGCAGGAGGAGAGGGGUGGGGGAGCGAAUCUGCCUCCUCCAGCCCCGCCGCAUCCGGGACGCUGUGCGGCUGGGUUCGCUUGGGUGAGCUCCGCUUUGGAAACCGCACGCCCUCCUACCUGCCCGACACGCUCCCGGGGGUUGCUGUGCAGAACCGUGCGAGGCUCGGCCCGGGAAGCGGAGCCGAGGGAGGCCGUCUCUGCAGGGCACGGGGGAGACGCAGUGCAAAUUCGUUUCAAACGAAUUCGGGAGUGUCGGUGGCUGCUCAGCAUUGCCUCUUCUCAUGGGUCUCCCUCCGCAUCCCAUAGACAAAAAGCGGUCCGGGUCUCGGCGCCGGCCGACUUCAGCAGGGCUUAAACAGUGCUCGUUCGUAAGCGAACGCGACCUGAGCUCCGCGCUCCCCACCCGGCCGGGAAUUGCUCGCAGCUGCGGGAGAAUUGACCCCCUCGGAGCGUUCCCCCGAGCACACACUGAGAGGGGAGCUCCCAGCCCGACCCCCGCGCUCCCAUCAGGAGCGAUUCGGGAAGGAGAACGCGGAGCCGUCCAGCUCCGUCCCGCGACCGGGACCGUGGCAAAGACAAAAGAGCUCCCGGGGCCCGGACUGCCCCCCCGCUGCCGCCGUGCUCUGUCGCUGCGCGUGUAUAGGGGGUAUACCUGACUCCGCUUCCUCUCCUUCCAUUCCAUAACCACAGCACUUGAAUCUGAACGGGAGCAGCUGUUCGCCCUAGCUAGAAGGGAGCCGGCAAAACCUGUUGCACGGAUCUAGAGCUGAGAAAGUCUCUUCUUAGCUUCCUCCACCAUUUUGAAUCAAGUAUAGUGAUGGAGGAAGGUGUUGCCUCUGUGUUUGUUUUCAAGUGAAAGAAGGUUGGCAGCAGCAUUUGGAACACAUGGCAUAAGUCUGGGAACUGGGCCUUACAGCCAUCGUAAAGAAGUGAGCUUCAGCUUCCAAGAAGAGAAGAAAGCAGAGAGAUAUAAUUGGGUAAUAGCUGUAUUUUUUUCCACCAUCUGAAAAAAGGUCUGCACGUACCAAUUGGAUCAAUAAAGCAUAGUCAACUCCAAGAUAGAAGUAUACAACAUGAUUACUUUCAGGUAAUUAGAAGACUUGUAUUUUACUUCAUAUUCCUGCGAAAUUUGUCUAGGCAUUUCAAUCUCAUCUGACCAAAGCCUUCAUGUGGAAGAGGAAUCUGCCUGUCAAAGAAAUUGGAGAGCUUCUCUGGAUCCCAUUUCCAUCCAAUCAAAGAUGCUUUGUAUUCACCAUCGUUAAUCGUACGAUUUGCAUUUGUGUAGAAAGUAAUAGAGGAAAUAUCCCAAGUUCAUUACCAAAAGGUAAUGAAGAGCAUCCCCAAAAAUUUGUGUGAUCUGGAUUGGAAUUCUGAAGCAGUUGAUACAAUCAGGGAAAAACAGAAGGAUUUGGCAGGAAAGAACAAGGAGAAUGGGGUUUAUGGAAGAAGAAGUUUGAAGUCUUCCAACUUCACUCAAGAAGUGUUAGUUCACUCAGUUAGGAAACUGGCACACUGACUGGCCAUCCAGGAUGGGACAGAUCUUGUCAGUAUCAGAGGAGUAAUAUUUUCACAAGGAUGAACUGCCACUGAAUGAUACAGAAACACUUUUAUCUUCAAUAUCAUGCAGAGCACUCUAAAAGCAUCAAAAAAGUGCAAGAUCUUGUUCCUGGCAUAUAUUUCCUUUGGGCUAAUCUUUCAAGACUCCAAAAGGUGUUGAGAUACGGUUGAUGUUAUGCAACCUUCAACACUAAAGCAGAUGUACAUCGUUCCUCCUUUGAGAAGUCUUAUUUUGAUCUCUGGAGACCCAUAUAGUGGUCCUCGCUAAAUCAUUUUGAGCAGAAGGGGAAUGUGCCCAGAGCAUUAUAGAAGCAGCAAUCUGUAGAUGGAAGUUAUAUGUGGAGUUUGAUGAAGCUGGCACUUUUCCUCCUGUAUGUUAAAUAAACAAGAAGUUACUGUGUAGUGUGUGAUGAUGCAGGCUGAUACUCUGCUGCUGAAUAAAACAAUGACAUGCUAAGACUCAGACUAUUUCCUUGUAUAGUCCUCAAAAAAUAGGAUUUUUUGUUUCUGAUACAUCUGAAAAUUCACAGGCAAAUAUGCAACUAAUCAAACCUCGCAGAGAUGCUAACACCCAGAUGUGUGUGUUUCUGUGUGGAAGCAAUCUAUGGCUAAUAGUAACAGAACUCUUGGAUAGAGAAAUCCUGUAAAAAUACAGAUUAGGCAUACAUAAGUUAAAUAUGUCUAACUAGUGUGCCAAGAAUUUAUAGUUUUAUGAAAUCUGUAUUAUGUAAAGAUCUUUCAAUAUUUCCUUCUAAAAAGUUUUCAUUAAUAUACAAAAAGGAGGAUAUGGAUUUCCAUAAUAAGCAGAAGAACCUUCCCAUUUCAUGUACAAUAAAUGAAAAUAACCACAUGACCUUGAUUCCUUGGCUUCCCUCUCUCUCCAGAUCUCCAUUAGAAGUUAGUACUUGAGUAAUCCAAUCUUUUAAUAAUAAGCUAUAAAAUAAAACCGUGCAAUUUAGCAAUAAUAAUGAAUGGUAAGUUUGCAUGUUGGCUGGAACUUCUGAGUGAGACUGUCCAACAUUCACUGUGCUAAAAGUCUAACAGUACUGAGUUUGACCAUUGGGAUUGACACCCUAGAUUCGCAACAGAGAUGGGAAGGAGUGCAAAUGCAGAUCUGAAUUUUGUAUUUUAAAUAUGGAAGUAUCUAUAUCUGAGGAGAGCCUUGUCUUGUUCAUCUUGAUACACUUCAGUAAAUUAUGAGGAGCUACUUUAAAAUGAAGAAAAGACAGAGGAGGUAAAAAUCAGAGAAAAUUCAGAGCUGAAAUCGAGAGUUAAUACUUGCAGGAAUUCAAGCCAGUAUUCCUUACAAAACUUCCCUUUGACUUCUCAUCCAGGGGAAAGAAAAGGAAAAAUUUAUCUGUGUGUACCUCUAUAUCUUGUAAUAUAUCUUAUAAUAAUCCAAGUUCACUUCAUGGACAUGGAUUUUGACUCUGGCUCAUAGUGGUGACAUCAUGUCUCAUCACUAGUAAUGAUGUGAUCCAGGAAACUGGAUGAAGUAAACUGCUACCUUCAGCCUUGUAUUGGUUCAAUAGGUCUUACAUAUCAAUAGGUCUUACAUAUCAAACUUACAUACGAUGCUCUUUCUGUUCCUGUGUGAGCAUUUGCAGGACUCACUUGUCGCAAACUUCAUUAUAUUCCAACGUUACCAUCAUCAUUUUCAAUGCACUGAAGCUGAUAUUCAACCCUGUACACAGUUCUCUGGUUGUAAUUCACCAAUUUGUGUGGAUGAGCUGAUUGAGACACUCUUCAUUUUGUGGUGUGACAGCUGUGCAUGUCUGUCUGGAAUGUGGUUUGUCUUUCAUGUCUCUGUUGCCACUGCUGAAAUGCACCAUCCGCCUCCUCACUGCGCUCACAUCCACUGUUUGGUCUCCAUAAACUUUCAGCAUGUGUCAAUGAAUGUCAAAGGGGACCAUUUUUUCCACAUGGAGGAAUUCAGUGACACACCUUUGCUUUGUACGCACUUCCAUGUCAGAGGCCAUUUCGUCAGACUGCCCCUCUGUUGCCAUCUGUCACACAGCAACGAAAUGUAAUGGAAUAUUGGUGGGAAAUUUCAAGCUCUACUAACACGCUACCAGCAUCCACCUCUGAAGUUGUGGGCCAACACCACAAAAUAGGAGGCAUUAAUUUCAGAGCAGCAAGCUUGGUAGAAAGGUGAAUAAAUACAGAUUAGAUUUUCUGUAAUACCUUCACUGAAGGCUCAGAUGAGUUUGAGUCAUAGAUCAAAGCAACAUGAUCAUCUGAAGUGGUCUCUUAUUUGAGAAAGGCCAAACCUUGCACACAAAAUUCCUUUUUGCUUGCUUCCCUCCAACGCUGUAUAUUUAUCAUGGAUAGAUUAUCACUGAGUGAUCACGUUACUUUCUGGUAUCUUAUGACUGUGGUUCAACUUCAGAAACAAAAAAGAGCAAAGGAAAGCUGCCAAAUCCAUUUGCUUUAUGUGACUCCCCACUUCAGACACACAAGGAAAGGCCUUACCUUUUUAACCUGUGCAGCUGAUGCUUGGAUUUUCUUUUCAUAUAUAUGCUCCAAAAGUAAACCAUGGACUUGAGAGGAAACGAGCUUAAUAUGCCAUGUGCUUCCUAUUUGUUGAAGGUAUCAGGGCUAGAGCUCCCUUGGCAUGCUAAAACAUGAACGUUUUUACAGCGUAGCAGAUUAUGGAAGCUGCUCUUGAUAAAUUCCAGUAACAGCAUUUUACAUUCCUCAUGCACCUUUCUGUGAAUGACAGAUUGCCACAUUAAGUCUCUAAAGAAGUGCUUGACAAGGGUGGUUCAGCAAAAGAAGAAAAUGGACCAUGUGUCUGACUCGGUAACUCUACAUUUCUUAACACAUUUACACGGGACUGCAGUGUUGUUCUCUCCUGUGUGCCAGAGCAUGAGAAAACUUCAGCGUGAGACACUCCUUCACACCACCAGGUCCUCUGCUGAAAUGCACAUGAAAACAAACAUAUGGAUGUGUUUACCUCUCAUAAAAGUAUAGGAAAAAGAAUAAUUUCACUGGAAUUUUUUCUUCUUGGCUGGGAGGUAGAGGAAAAGGGACCAUGGCAGAUACACAAGCUGUAGAAGAUGUGCUUGUUGGGAAGAAGGUUGUAGAGAUUAAACAGCCAGCCCAGUAAGUACUAGAAGCCUUUAUGCUGCAAGUAGAGCAACCAGGCUAAUAUACUGUUUCAUGCUGUAUUCUGAAGGUGCUUUUUGGAAGAAGUCAGUUCAAAAUGUUGCCCAGUAUGACUCUGCCUGGCACAGAAAUCACUGCUGGUUCUAUCCAUUCAGUGGAACUGAGGGGAACAAAGUUUGAAGACAUAAGUAUAUGAUUGUAUGUGAUUGUCUACAUACUUAAAAUGUGUAGAAUUAGCUGUUAAGUGCACUCUAAAUAUGGCACAUAAAUUCACCUAUAAAUACUAGAAGCACUGUGCCUGAUUUAGAAACAUUAACUGAAGAAUUUCUCAAAUGCAAAUUUUAAUUUCUUUCAGAUCUGUUUUGUGGUUUCUUCUCCAGCAUUCAAGGUGGAUGCAUGAGAUUCCAUUUCCAGUUUUAACUUAAUGGCUUCCCUUAAGAAAGAGGAGGAAAAAAAGUUAUAUGAAUUAAACAUUACAUAUGAUGUGGCAAAGCACUUUCAGGAAUUCAAUAAGGAAGAGCAGAAAAAACUGUUGCUCAGAGUUAGUAGCAGCAGUGAAUAGCGCUGUUACCAUCUAAAAGCUCACACUUUUCAGUCAGACUUGGCUGGUGAAAUGUAGAAGCUUAAUGUGGAUUACACUUUUUAAAUCUUUCAACGUUAGAAAAAUAGAAGAGAUGUAGUGCGUUUUCAUUUCAGCGUACUUUGAAUGCAAUCUCAAGAUAAAUGUGAGAGACGGAUUGUGUUUGUACCCGUGCCAAACAUUGUCGUUAGAUAUUGCUGUUUUGUUUCAUCAGCCAGAUGAAUUUACACAGGGACAUCGAUCAGGUACCUACAUUUAAAAGAGCGCACUGUCAAAUUAGUGGAUAGAAAGAGCACAUUAGGAGAGAGAAAUUAUCUGGUGAAAGAUUUAAAGACUGACUCACUUAUGUUUUGUUUCAUUAAAUGUGGGGUAGUCCCCGUUCAUUUUCCAUUUAGCAUGAACAUUCAUAGACUCCAUUAAAAUACCAUUUUUGUAACGAACUAGCUGACUUGGGACAUACAUGAUCCUCAUUGGAAAAAACACAGCUCCCCUUCUGACAGGUUCUAGAUCACUCCAAAAUCUGGGGCCCAAGACGGGCAACCCUACUGGCUGUCUUGAGGAGACACCUGCGUCCUCCUGUAAAAUAUAUGUGUAUAGGGCAUAUAUUUUAUGGCCUGCAGGGGCUGGUGGUCUCCAUAGGGAUGGGGAGAGGUUGGGAUGGGAUGUGGUUGUAUGCACUCCACAAAAGGUCUCAGAAUAUGUUCUCAAGAGGCAAACACACACAAGCACAAAACAAACAAACAAAAAGACAAGCAACAAAAUAAAUCAAGCAAAUUGAAACCAAAUACAUCCAUGACUAGCCUAUGCCAUAAAUCCCUCUUUUGUGCUACUUUCCAGUCAGCUCCAUUACACAAUGGAUUUAAUUCCACAAUGAUUUAAUUACACAAUGAUUUAAUUCAAACAUUUUAUGGCAGAGAUGUAUUUUAGCUAAAAUGAUAUUUUUACUCAGUGUGGGGCGGCAGGGGGUUGGAUAAAAUGGACUACUUUACCAAUGAAAUGAAGAGCUACAGAAUGGUAAGAGACAGAUACAGGGAGUGUAGGUGUGGUACCAAAUCCCUACCUCACUGUUUCAAUACCUGCGCUUAGUGCCUGGAUUGCCUUACAUUCAGCUCUGUAACAGCCCCACAACAUAUCAGAGCUUCCUGCGAAGGUUUUCACUCUUCAUAUCCAAUAAGACAUUUAGAUUAAUGCAUGCAAAAUGUUGCCCUAGGAUUUGAUAGUGAAAAGAGCCAAAACCCAAAUCUUCUUUUUUUCCCCAGAAAUAGUCAUCCAUCAUUAAAAUUAUUAGAGAGCAAAUGGCUGAAAUGUAUCAUUACAAAAUAGAAGUAUUUCCUUUGAUUGUUUAAAAAUCUCUUAUUUAAUUUGAUUCAUACAUAUUUUUUUCCCUUUUACAGUUUAGAACACUGCAUCUUACCAUAUGUGAAAUGUUUCUUUGAGGUGUCAAAGUGACUUGUCAUGGGUUUGGAAUGAGAACUAAAUUAAAUGUCCAUACUUUAACAUACUUAUAUAAAUAACGAGAUAUUCCAGUAUAAACCAUUCAUUUGGCAGUCAUUUCUACAUCAGCAACUACAAAGUGCUAUAGAUUUCCUGCCUAACUUGACACAUGCAAAGAAAAUCAGGAAGGAAAAUGUGUGUGUACGCAUAUAUUUUAUAGAAAAAGACAGCCUCUUGUAUUCUAUUGUCAUUAAAGUAUUUCUAGCUUUUCUGGAAAUAGUGCAAGAGGUUUAACAAAAUGCUCUGCAUUCACAGCAGAAUGCUGGAGCAUUAAGUUGCUUCCAACUGCACUCCAAAACUUGUUUCCAUAAUUUAGAAACAGAGAGGGUAGAAAUGGAUAACAAAGUCAUUAAUGAGCUCCAAGAAUGAUUUAUUAUGGGUGAUAUAGCGUCUUUGCUUUUAAGAAAAAUACAUUAAAUAAAAAUUCUUCAUAAAAUAAAAAUUCUUUCCUAUUGAACAUUGUGCAGAAUUUGCUUUAUUAGUGUAUUAUAUCACCACAUUGCCUGGUCUGGCAUUUCUCAUACAAAUAAUGUUUCAAGGUGCUAGCAAAGCUUGUGAACUACAGUGCAAACCAUGUUAGGAAUACUGUUUGUACAGAAACACAACAGUAGCAAAGAUCCUUCUGCAGGGGUUCUGGAGAUAGUUAACACUGGAGGAUCCUUUCAUCUUGCAUCUGCUGCACAAACUUGCAUCACACUCGGCUAACAAUAAUAAAAAAUGAUAACUGAUAUUUAGUUCCAGUCUUUCCAUCUGCCUGACUUCUUUAUGCCAGUUUUUAGGUUGCCAGUCUUUCUCAUGCACACGUCUAUGCACACAUACUCUGAAAGCAUCGGUGGUCAAUGAACAGUGUCGUCUAGGUGGAAACAUCAUAUAGCUAUAAAACAACAUCCAGAUUUGCUG